AAGCAGACCAAUCAGAGCUCUUCCUAGAAUUCUACAUGUAACAUUUGAAGCCAGACUGUUUCAGAAUUAAACAAAGGUCAGUAGCUCAGAGCAAGGAGAGGAAGGUGGGACACAGCGAGGGAAACAGAAUAUUGCAAAGUAUUUCUUGAAUAUUCACACCUAAUCUUGCACUAAACCUAAGAUGACAAGGAUAAGAUUCUGAGCUCUGCCCACGCUUCAGAGAAGCAUCUGUCAAUCCACUGACUAAUGACAAUGACUUAUGUGUCCAGACUUCAGAGUAACAGAAGGCCUGGCUCCAAAUAAUAGAGUGACCAUGUUUCCUAAAGAGACUCACAGGCCCUGUGUGUCAGGCACUGCACGUACCCGGGAAGACAACGCCAGAUGAAUGGCCUGAUGGGGGUGACAGACCACUGGGUCAACUUCAGAAUUUCAGAACUGGAAGGGGUGUUCAAGAUUCUUUGGUCCAACACCUUCAUUUUAGAAGAAGUGAAGACUACACAGAGUAUACAGAGUAUUUCCUUGCAAGAUAAUCAGAAAUGAGCAAUUAUUUAAGAUAUGGAUUCUUUUUGAAAGACUUCAGCAUAGCAAAAUGGUAACUGAAUUACUAUGAAUGGUAAGAGAAAAAAAGGAGUAUGUUGAUUUCCAAUGCUGUUUUUAAGCCUCCGAAGCCCCUGGCCUCCUAUUAUUCACACCUUUCCGUGGCCUUUCCACAAUGCACCAGACUGCAGCUUCUGGAGUCUUCUGUCUCUUUCUCUCCCUCUUUCCAUCCCUAUUAUUCCCUCUGGAGGAAGUCUGAUGCCUUGUCUUGAGCAGCCUCGUGAGACGUGUCCCACAGUAGCCAGGGAGCCCUGCCUUUAGGCCUUGCGGGUGAACUUGGAGGCAGAUUUCUCCAGGCAGAGCUAAGCCAUGACUGCAGCCCCAGCUGACAGCCUGGCAACAACCUCAGGAGAGACCCUGAGCCAGGACCACCUAGCUGGGAGGAGGGUCUCAGAGUCAGUCUGGACUCCUGACUCAGAACUGUGUGAAACAGUCAGAGUUUGUUGUUUUAAAACCCCAAAUUUGAAGGUAAUUUGCUAUGCAGUAAGAGAUAACUUUGGGCUUCCCUGGUGGCUCACUGGUAAAGAAACUGCCUGCAAUGCAGGAGCCUCGGCUGGAUCCCUGGAUUGGGAAGAUCCCCUGGAGAAGGAACUGGCAAACCACUCUAGCCUGGAGAAUCCCAUGGACAGAGGAGCCUAGCAGGCUACAGUCUGUAGGAUUAAAGAGUUGGAAAUGACUGACUGACUAAAAAACAAUUG
ensembl:lncRNA